CAGGCUGUGGUGGUGCACUGGCU
rnacentral:miRNA from 1 species